AGCAGCCGCGGUAACACCGGCGGCCCGAGUGGUGAUCGUGAUUAUUGGGUCUAAAGGGUCCGUAGCCGGUUUGGUCAGUCCUCCGGGAAAUCUGAUAGCUCAACUAUUAGGCUUUCGGGGGAUACUGCCAGACUUGGAACCGGGAGAGGUAAGAGGUACUACAGGGGUAGGAGUGAAAUCUUGUAAUCCCUGUGGGACCACCUGUGGCGAAGGCGUCUUACCAGAACGGGUUCGACGGUGAGGGACGAAAGCUGGGGGCACGAACCGGAUUAGAUACCCGGGUAGUCCCAGCCGUAAACGAUGCUCGCUAGGUGUCAGGCAUGGCGCGACCGUGUCUGGUGCCGCAGGGAAGCCGUGAAGCGAGCCACCUGGGAAGUACGGCCGCAAGGCUGAAACUUAAAGGAAUUGGCGGGGGAGCACAACAACGGGUGGAGCCCUGCGGUUUAAUUGGACUCAACGCCGGACAACUCACCGGGGGCGACAGCAAUAUGUAGGCCAAGCUGAAGACUUUGCCUGAAUCGCUGAGAAGUGGUGCAUGG
rnacentral:rRNA from 1 species